UACGGAGGGUGCGAGCGUUAAUCGGAAUUACUGGGCGUAAAGCGCACGUAGGCGGUUGCGUAAGUCGAUUGUGAAAGCCCCGGGCUUAACUUGGGAAUUGCAGUCGAUACUGCGCAGCUAGAGUGUGGUAGAGGGAAGUGGAAUUCCGGGUGUAGCGGUGAAAUGCGUAGAUAUCCGGAGGAACACCAGUGGCGAAGGCGGCUUCCUGGACCAACACUGACGCUGAGGUGCGAAAGCGUGGGGAGCAAACAGG
rnacentral:rRNA from 1 species